UAGUCUCUCUCACAUUGCCUUCAGAAACUUCAGCUAACUACCCUUACACCUCUCCACCACCACCGGCCUCUCCUCCCUACCAUUACAAGUCACCACCGCCUCCUUCUCCUUCUCCUCCAGUGCACUACUCACCACCUAAGCAUCCCUACCACCCUAAGUCACCACCACCUCCUGUGUACGCACCACCUAAGCAUCCCUACCACCCUAAGUCACCACCACCUCCUGUGUACCCACCACCUAAGCAUCCCUACCACCCCAAGUCACCACCACCAUCACCAAAGCCUUACCACUACAAAUCCCCACCACCACCUCCUGCUCCAGUGCACUCACCACCCCCACCUAAGGAGCCAUACCACUACAAGUCCCCACCACCACCACCCAAGAAGCCCUACCACUACAAAUCUCCCCCACCACCUCCUCCUCCAGUUCACUCACCACCACCACCCAAGGAGCCUUACCACUACAAAUCUCCACCACCACCACCCAAGAAACCUUACUAUUACAAGUCUCCUCCACCACCACCAAAGAAGCCUUACCACUACAUGUCUCCUCCCCCACCGGUGUACUCACCACCUCCACCAGUGCACUCACACCCACCACCAAAAAAGCCUUACCAUUACAAAUCUCCUCCCCCGCCAGAAUAUUCACCAGCUCCACCAGUGCACUCAACCCCACCACCAAAGAAGCCCUACCAUUACAAAUCCCCACCACCACCACCACCACACAAGAAGCCUUAUUACCCUGUUCACUCACCACCUCCACCUAAGAAGCCUUACCACUACAAAUCCCCACCACCACCUUCUCCUACUCCUCCUAAAUACUCACCACCUAAGCACCCCUACCACUACAAGUCUCCACCACCACCACCAAAGAAGCCUUACCAUUACAAGUCCCCACCACCUCCUUCUCCUACUCCCCCUAAAUACUCACCACCUAAGCACCCCUACCACUACAAGUCACCACCACCACCACCCCAAGAAGCCUUACCACUACAAGUCUCCACCACCACCACCUCCUCCAGUUCCCACACCAUCUCCACCCAAGAAACCUUACCACUACAAGUCUCCCCCACCACCCCCUCCAGUCUACAAGUCUCCUCCACCACCAGUUUACUCACCACCACCACCACCUAAGAAACCUUACAAGCCACCAACUCCUCCAGCAGUUCACCCACCACACGGUUACAUCUAUUCCUCACCCCCACCUCCUCACCACUACUAGAUAUUGAAAGUUUAAUUGCAUCAAGCUGGUAAGCUUCUCCAUUCUAUGCUAUUAUUCAUUAAUUAGUUAGUACUACUGUUGUCAAUUUGGAAAUCACCAUAC
rnacentral:lncRNA from 1 species